AUAUAUAUAUAUAUUUGUGAAGUUGCUUUAAGUACUAAUAAGCAAUGUACAAAAUGUUUGAAAUAUUUUACAUUAUCCUAUCUUUAUAAGAAAUGCAGUUAUUUUCAUAUUUUAAACAUAAACAAACAGCAUAAAAACAUGUGUGAUAACAAUUGGAUACAUUUAGCAAGUCUUGAAGAAAAUGUGCAAGCAACAAUUAGACUUGUUGUUAAUACUGAUGGAAUUCCUGUUUUUAAAUUAUCAAAGUGGACCUUGUGGCCUUUGCUAGCAUCCAUUCAUAAUUUUCCAUAUUCAUUGCAAAUUACUAAUAUUUUGUUUUUUGGUUUCUGGUCCAGUUUUAAAAAACCAAACGUGCAAUUAUUUUUAUCUUGUUUUGUUGAUUUUUUACUAACCUAUCCACUACUGGUAUACUCUUAUCUAAUAAUGUUCGUGUUUUUUUUCAUGUAUCUAUUUUUUUGUGUGAUACAAUUGCAGGAGCUAUGGUUUUUUGUUGUAGGUAGUUUAAUGAUUAUAAUGGUUGCCAUUGGUGUUCUUCUCAAGGGGUAAAAGUUAAAAAAAGAAGACACUGUACUGUUGUAAAUAAUCUUUUAUCUGCAAUCAGUGUGCCAAGCAAUAUAAGACAGACUCGAUGAUCAUUAAGUUGUAUAAAGCAUUGGAAAGGAUAAAAGUGAUAAAAUGCUAUUGGUUGGAAAUUGAUAAAUUAAUAAAAAAUGAUUGAUUCUAAUUGCGCGAAAAUAUGUUGCUCUAAAGACCCAAACCGAAAAGAAUGCCUAAAGUGGUUUUCAAAAGAUGAAUUGACGAAUUUCUUAAUUCUUUUUGUUUCGUGAUAAUUUGUCGUAUGAGAACGCUAACGAGAAAAAACUUUUUAAAUAUAGAAACAUGCGUAAUAUAAAGUUUACUUAUGCCUAUAAAAAAAUAUGUUUUACAUUAAUUAAUAAAUUAACUUUUUAGUUUCUUGUUAAAAAUUGUAUUCUGUAUUGAAGUUUAUUUCUGAGAAUUUGUAAUUAUACCUAAGAUAAUCUAAUCCUACAUUGUAUUUUAAUUUAUAAAACUCGAUAUUUUAAAAUAAAUAUAUUACUUUUUUAUCGCG